UGCCACCCUCGACCUUAAAUCUCAGUCACUCUUGGACGCUAGGUGAAAGCAGAAAACGGCUUCCAGCUGAACUGAGCCAUAAAGUGUCAAGUGAAAAACCAAUCUGGACCAAGGAUAACAGGACACCAGUAAAAUUCAACAGCAUUGAUAGGAAUGCUGAAUAGGAAUUCAACAAAACAUACAAAUACAUACACUUCAAACACCUACCAGCUGUCCCAGUUCUCCAAGUGUGUUAUAAAGCCACACCUCCCUCCAAAUGGUGUUACAGCUGAUGCUCCGAUUUCAGAUGACCCUCCUUCUGUCAGAGGUAUUUGAACCAGAGUGACUCCAUCUUGAAUAGAGGGCUGGGUAAAAUGAGGCUGAGACCUACUGGGCUGCAUUUCCAGGAGGUUAGGUGUUCUUAGACACAGGAUGACAUAGGAAGUUGCCACAGGUCACAAAGACCUUGCUGAUAAAACAGCAUGUGGUACAGAAGCCAGCCAAAUCCCACCAAAACCAAAAUUACCAUGAAAGUGACCUCUGGUUGUCCUCACUGCUGAUUAUACACUUAUUAUAAUACUAAGAGACACUCCCACCAGUGCCAUGACAAUUUACAAAUGCCAUGGCAACAUCAGGA